GACGAACGCUGGCGGCGUGCUUAACACAUGCAAGUCGAACGAAAAGGCCCUGCUUUUGUGGGUUGCUCGAGUGGCGAACGGGUGAGUAACACGUGAGUAACCUGCCCUUGACUUUGGGAUAACUUCAGGAAACUGGGGCUAAUACCGGAUAGGAGCUCCUGCUGCAUGGUGGGGGUUGGAAAGUUUCGGCGGUUGGGGAUGGACUCGCGGCUUAUCAGCUUGUUGGUGGGGUAGUGGCUUACCAAGGCUUUGACGGGUAGCCGGCCUGAGAGGGUGACCGGCCACAUGGGGACUGAGAUACGGCCCAGACUCCUACGGGAGGCAGCAGGGGGGAAUAUUGCACAAUGGGCGGAAGCCUGAUGCAGCAACGCCGCGUGCGGGAUGACGGCCUUCGGGUUGUAAACCGCUUUCGCAUGUGACGAAGCGUGAGUGACGGUAAUGGGUAAAGAAGCACCGGCUAACUACGUG
rnacentral:rRNA from 1 species